rnacentral:lncRNA from 1 species
CCAUAAGGGGCAUUCCAUUUAAAUAGGGAAUGAAGAGGUGGCAAGGAUUCCUAAGGGGUGCCAACUCUUGGUGCUCCACUUUCUCACGUGGAGAAAUAAUUCAUUGAUGAAUUAAACUAUACAGAAGAUUCUUCAUACAGAAGAAGUCCUCCUCUUCAACACCCCAUAAUUCUCCACAUUAAAUAAGGUAUGUGAUAAUUAAGAAAAUCCAUGGAAAUAAAGAGAUAGUUAAG